GUUGGUAAAAGUAAAAAUGAGUGCCAGUGUCUUGUUAUUAUUACUCUCAUAUGUCACAGCUCACAAGGACAGAGAGAGCCAUAAUAGAGUGUGUCUUUAACAUCUUUCAUGUGAACAGUGACUCUGCAGAAACCCAGAAGCAAUGCAGACCUUUUGUUUCUCCUUCCUCCUUCUGCUAUCAUGCGCACCUUCCCCUCUAUCCUACGCCUCCUCCGCCCUCAAUCUCGGCCGUCGUCACCUCUCCGACGACGCAGGAUCAGCUCUUCUCACUCCUGCUUCACCCACAAGUCCUCCUUUCUUCCCUCUCGAAUCCUCCGCUCCUCCUCUUCCUCCUCCGCCGUCUCCGCCCACCUUCGCCGCCUUUCCUACUACUUUUCCCGCCAACAUCUCCGCCCUCGUCCUCCCCCGCUCUCCCAAACCGCAUUCCACCUCCCCUGCUAUCCUUGUCCCGGCCAUCUCCGCCGUCCUCGUUGUCGCUGCGGUUCUCGGCGUCGCUUUGUUUCUCUACGGCCGGUGGAAAGGGCAAAACCGUCAUUUCAAAGACACUAAUACUACUCUUGGUGGUGGUAGUAGUAGUAGUAGUCAUACCUCGGAGGAGAGACACGUCAUCACCAACAACUUCUCUGUCUCCGCUUCUUCUCCAACCUCUGAGGUUCUAUACCUCGGAGGAGAGGAGGAGCCUGACCGUGUUGUAACGAGUUUCGUCAAGCCUCCUGAGUCGCCGGAGAUACGGCCUCUCCCUCCGUUGCCUCGUAGCUUCCAGCCUAGCUACGAAGCUGAGAUUCACUCCGAGAGAAACGAAGAAGAAGAAGACGAAGAAGAAGAAGAAGAGUUCUUCUCUCCUCUAGCUUCUUUAGCUAGCUCCGCGAACUCAAGUCCAUCUCGCUCCGGUUUCGAGCAAAGCUCCUGCUCCUCCUCCUCCUCCGGCUGGGUUUCUCCGGCGAGGUCCUUCUCCAUGACUUUAUCUCCGGUUCAGCAGCAACGCUCGUUCAGUAGACUCUCUGACGUCUCUUUGGAACAAAGCCUUCAGUCUUUGUCGCCGGAGAGGCUAAGAGUGAGGAACAAUAACGGACACGUGUCGUCUUCUUUAAGAAUGUUUAGCUUCUUUAAUCAGAAUCUGAGCUUCCCUCGUAUCUCCUCUGCUUCCACCUCGCCGGAUAGAGGAGGUUUCGUGCGAACGCCUCUCUCGUCUCUCUACUCGUCUGUUUCGAACUCUCCCGACGGGUUGUUCAGGAAGUUUAUAAACAGCUCCCCGCCGAUUUGGAACGACUUUAGCCGGAAUGUCAAGUCGGUGUUGCUCUCCUCUGAGUCGGUUUCGUCAAGGAGAGACUUUGUUAUCAACAUCGGUGGCCAAGCAGGAGCAGUAGCAGCUCCUCCUCCGACUAGACCGCCUCCUCUUGUCCCACCUUCACAGUCUUUCGUGGUUCAAAAUGAUGUGAAAAAACCAUCCUUUUCCGACAAAGUCAAUCAAGGUUCUUGCCAGAACACAGCUUGGGAUUGUCUUAAGGCGAACUCGUUCAAGUUAAACAAAGAGAUUGUAGAGACUCUGUUCAUCUCAAACUCGUCAAGUCCAAACUUAAACCAGAGAGGUCUGACUUAUGAUCUACCGACUCAAAAUGAAGUUUCAUACCAGAACAUUGCUACUCGCCUUCAACUACUUAACUUGACCACAAAGGAUGUUUCUAACGCUCUUCUUGAAGGUGAUUCUGGUGCACUUGGAGCUGAGCUUCUUGACUGUCUAUCAAGAUUGGCACCUAGUAAAGAAGAAGAGAGGAAGCUGAGGAACGCUAGUGAUGAUUCAGUGAUUAUCAAGCUUACUCCAGCUGAAAGGUUUCUUAAGGAGUUGCUUCAAGUGCCGUUCGUGUUCAAACGGGUUGAUGCAUUGCUCUCUGUGGCUAACUUCUACCCUGAGGUUGAAUAUCUCAGACGAUCAUUCGGUGUUGUACAGGCUGCUUGUGAAGAGCUGAGGAAUAAUAAAACGUUCUCGAGACUUCUUGAAGCUAUACUCAAGACAGGAAACAAGAUGAGCGUUGGAACAAACUCUCACGCUUUCAAGUUCGACACUCUCCUCAAGCUCGCUGAGGUCAAGGGACUAGACGGAAGAAGCAGCGUCUUGCAUUUCGCUGUUCAGGAGAUGAUAAAAUCAGAAGGCUCUGUGAAGGCUUUAGACCGGAUCAGAAACCUGAGCUCAGAGAUGGAGACAGUCAAGAAAUCAGCUGACAUUGAGUACGGUGUUCUGACAAACGGUGUGUUGAAGCUUUACCAAGGAAUCAGGAGCAUCAAGGAGCUUUUGAUACUGAGCGAGGAGAGUGGAUGUAGUGGAGAUCAGUGGAUGAAGUUCGAGACUAAGAUGGGUCGGUUCUUGGAAACUGCUGGUGAGGAGAUUGUGAGGAUCAAAGCACAAGAGAGCUCAACGCUGUCUGCGUUGGAAGAGGUCACAGAGCUAUUCCAUGGAGGCUCUUUCAAGGAAGAAGGUCACACGUUGAGAGUUUUCAUGGCUGUGAGAGACUUCCUGUCUACUCUAGACGAAGUAUGUAACGACAUGGGAGAAAGAUUCUCAGCUUAAGAUUUUCAAAAUGUAGUUGAAGUAGCAGAUCAACAAAGUAGUUUAUUAGGAAGUAAUCUUCAGUUUUUGUGUUAUCUCUAGAAUGAGAUGACCUCUAAACUUAAGGUAUCUUGCAAUCUGUUAACCUGCACUGUUUUAGCUUGAAGUAGCAUUAGAUGUACGGAUUUUAAGACAUUUCUUGUACUUUCUCUCAACUUGAAACCAUUUUCUCCCAAGACAUAAGCCUAGAUUUGAGUUUUUUUUU